rnacentral:lncRNA from 1 species
UUUUUCCAAGGUGAAAAAAAUGGGUUUGGAAGGUGUGAAAAUGGUGAAGAAAGGGAUUAUGCCCCGACCUUUUACAGACGCUGUGGCGGGCGCCACAGGGUCUAUGGCGGGCGCCGCAAGGCAAAAUCUGGCUGGGCCGGAUUUUGGUCCUUUGGUUUGGGCUUCUCUUAUCUUUUGGUUUUGAGGGGUCCGGAUAGCAUUUGUCUUGUGAUUUUCCUAGCAUCAUUGACUUGCAU